rnacentral:rRNA from 1 species
AACGAACGCUGGCGGCAGGCCUAACACAUGCAAGUCGAGCGCCCAGCAAUGGGAGCGGCAGACGGGUGAGUAACACGUGGGAACCUUCCCUAUAGUACGGAAUAUACCAGGGAAACUUGGAGCAAUACCGUAUACGCCCGAGAGGGGAAAGAUUUAUCGCUAUAGGAUGGGCCCGCGUUGGAUUAGCUAGUUGGUGAGGUAACGGCUCACCAAGGCAACGAUCCAUAGCUGGUUUGAGAGAAUGACCAGCCACACUGGGACUGAGACACGGCCCAGACUCCUACGGGAGGCAGCAGUGGGUAAUCUUGGACAAUGGGCGCAAGCCUGAUCUAGCCAUGCCGCGUGAGUGAUGAAGGCCUUAGGGUUGUAAAGCUCUUUUGCCGGGGACGAUAAUGACGGUACCCGGAGAAUAAGUCCCGGCUAACUUCGUGCCAGCAGCCGCAGUAA